AACUGCCACUGUUUGCAGGUGCUAGGAUCCGUCUGGUGGCUCGAGCUAUAGAUCUACUCCUCCCUCUCCUCCUCUUCGGACAAGGCAGCAUGGGCAGAGGCAGCCCCCCUCCUCCAAACAGGUGCAAGUGUGAUUAUACGCCACUGAUGUUAACAAUAUCCAGUGCUUUCUUCCAAUCACAGCAUAGCCCAGUAAAACAAAACUACUGUGUUAGAAUUUGUAGAAAUAAUUUAUCAAAUAGACAGAUGUUACUAUACAAGGAAACAAACUGUAGAAUGCAAGAACUUUGAUUCAAUGGGAAGUGUGAUACCAUACCAGCAAGCAGCUCUCUGCCCAACUGAAUACGUUUCUGCCCCAGCCACCACUUAAUAGCUGAUCAAUCUAAAAUUGGAGGGUAUUUGAAAUGAGACCCAAGUGAUACUGCAGCAAAAACUAAUGAGGAGGUGCAACCGCAAGACCAGUAAGGAGCAAAGGUGAUCAUUGAAUAAAUACAUGGAGGAAGACUGGGUAUCCACUGCGCAAACUGUAGAUCCAGCUCUUUCAGCCAACAGAAAUAACUACAUGAAUCCAUUGAUCCAUCGUUCAGGGUGUUAAAAAAGAUGGUUGAUGGUAGCAGUUUAAUUCUGUAUGGAGGAGUUUUUGCUCUACGCAUUGUAUCCCUUUAUAUAAGUAUUUCAAUGUUUGAAUGCCCUAGGAUAUCUAAACAUCAUUGCCAAGACUAGGAAAGACCUGGAAUGGUUUCAGGAACAUGGAAGUGAAAUCAGCUUAAUGUGGUAUCCUCCCACUCACCAGUCCUCAAUUCAAUGAAACAGCUGUGGAAAGAGAUGGAAUCAACUAUUCGGAGUAGUUAGUCAUCACCAACUAAUUUUUAAUAUAGUAGAAACACUGGGUCAACAUACAGUAGUCACUAUGUAAGUAUCUCUGUGCCGUAUUAAACACUUUAGUAAGUGGAGAAGCAAGUCAUUAUUAUAGCGUGUAUUAACUAUACACUAUAUGUUGGAUCA